AUGCAUCACGACUUACCGAAAAUUGGGCGAUGGUACACCAAAGCCCUGGACUGCAUCAAAAGAUCCAAUUUAAAUAUCUUCCAAAUUGCGAUGCCUCAGAAAAUACUGAAAACAUUGUUGUGGGCUUACAACAUUACACAUCGUGGUGGCACCUCACUCUCUCACUCUACACUGGACCACAGCUCACAUAUCCCCACGGCAGAGCGGGGAAAUGAAAUACAUAUAUGUAUGCUCCACCAUCUGAUGAUACAUUCGUGUCGUGUAAGAAAUCCGGCCAGCCCUACGUUCACCCUGCAUGGAUAG
rnacentral:rRNA from 1 species